GGUAGAGAGGCCAGCGGUGGCCUUCAGGAUGGCGUCUUUGUCGGGUGCCUUGUUGUCCUGCUUCUUCUGAUAGACAGGGGGAGAGACACGUGAAAGACUGGCCCGAUCCAAGUGAAAAUAACAACUGUAGAUUUCAGUUAGCCAAGGAGCGCACUGCAUCCAUCUGCCUCUCCUCUUAAAAGUCACCUCGAAAAGCUAGCCUAUUAUUUCUGGGGAUUUACCUUGGAAAGAAAUAAGCUUGAAUCACCUACAGAUGUGUUUGCGUCUACCUUUUCAUCUGCGGAUAUAUCAGCCAUUUUUGGAGGUGGUGGUGGAGGCCUUUUCUUGACCAAUAGGAGGACAUCUGAGGACAAGGGGAAUUAGGUCAGGUCUAGAAACCACUUGUUCUGUUUUCUGAAAUGAGCAAAAGCCAAGCUUACUCAAGUACCUUUAUCUUUCAAGUUUUCUUCAGCAACAGUUUUAGUUUCUGUGAGGAUCCUCUCUGAAGCAGCGUGGAUGAGCUUGUGAUGGGUUGAUAUCCACAGACGAGCGUGGGAAUAGGCCUGGAACCAAUGUUGGAGGAAGACAGAAUGUAUAGAAGAGUUGGAGAUCAGAAGAGAUAAUGAAGGGCUGGGUGGACGUGCACCAGACCAUGUCUGUGAGAGCCCGCUUCGGAACUGUGCGAUAGUUCGAGCUAAUAUAGCUGAUGUGAAAAACGAAAACGAGGGAGGACUGGGGGACUCCUAGACACUAUAUAAAUCUAAAGGGACAUCCCCUAUCUAAGACAUCAGUAGGGCUUGUUGUCAUUUCCAGGAGUGAAUAUCAGGUAGGCUAACCUUAAGUUAGCGUUGAAAAGAUCAAAUUCCAAACAUUUCAUAAGUUUCAUAACAUGACAAAGUGGAAACGAUAUAGAACAAAAUAGUCUUCAGAACUUUAAAUUAUGACUAAACAAAUGUUAGGGGACACUAUCACUUAAUCAAACAUGGUUUUAUUAAAGCUCCUUUUACAAAAAAUACAACCUGUUUCCUGUCCCAUGAACUUUUAUGAACUGUAAAUCAUCAGGAAAUCAGAGGAAACAAACCAAAUGAAUCAAUCAUUAACCACC